UCAUAGUCGUGUAUAAAAGCUGGAUAAUUGCUUAAUAUUCAAAGACUUCAGACGGAAUUUCCUAUAGAACCAAAAAGAAGAAUAAUGGUUUCUGUUUGUUUAGUCGUCUGUCUGUUGCUAGUGUUCGAGAGAGUCAACAUGGCACAUGCAGAAAUGCUUGAAGACAAAGACCUUAUUCAUAAGCUUGUUAAAAGACAUAACUGUCCUAUACGAUGCAAUACGCACUUUGUAUGCUGUCUGGAUUAUUACUGUUCUGACGACAAGAUAUGCAAGCUUUUACCGCAUAG